UGAACAGGAAGACUCACCCUGACCGCCAGCCAAUACCCAGAGUACAGGAUAUCAUGGACAGCCUUGGAGAAAAUUCCUGGUUUUCACCCUUGGAUCAGGGACAAGCAUAUCACUAGGGGUUCAUGGAAAAGGAAAGCAGCCUUUGUGACCCCAUCGAGCCUGUAUGAGUGGGUUUGUUUUCAGUAUGGACUCAUGGAUGCACCAACAGCCUUCCAGCGCUUAAUGGAGGAAUGUUUGGAUGGCUUGAGAGAUGAGAUCUGUGUCCCGUAUCUGGACAACACCCUCGUCUUCAGCAAGAACUUUGAGAUCCAUGUCAACUAUUUUAGAAAAGUACUACAGAGACUAAGAGAAUAUGGGAAAAAGCUGAAGCCCAGCAAGUAUCUAUCCCCUGCCUUUCGACACAGUGAACCAUCAGAUCCUCCGCUCCACCCUCUCAGGGCUGGGUGUCUCAGGCUCUGCACACUCUUGGAUAACAUCCUACCUGGCAGGCCGCUCCUACCAGGAGUACAUAUAUAGUGCCAGGAGAACUGUCUGCUGAUGAGAAGGUGGCCUGGUUACAGGGUAAAUGGAAACAAGAUGUGGCGGCCCCGCACUCCUUUGAAGGUGUUCCACACCAUACCUCUGAAUCUGUGGAGGAGAAUUUAGACCUUUUCCAAGAAGGCCUGAUGAAAGAGUUACCCGGACGACUGACCCUCCUUCCAGAGAAACUUGGGUCAUCACAUGGCUGAGAUAGGACUCUGCCAAGGAGCUUCACAACAACCUACUCCACAUUUCACCCACAUCACUCCCUUGAACCAACACAUCUUUAGUAACUCAACAUAAGAUAUAUGGCAUGUGUGUUCCAAGAACAGAGAGAGAGUCUGGUCAAUCUCAAGUAAUGACACAGAGGAAAAUAUUAUUAAUUUCUAAGAUGGAUGGAUGUCAAUAAACCAGAUGCUUUUGUACAUGUAAUAUUGAACAGUAACCUUCCAUAAAACCAUAUAUUUCCUGGUAGACCUGAGUAAAAUAAGUUAAACCUUGAGAACUACUUGAGAACUCAAAAUGAUUCGUUAUGCCUCACAAUCAGGGGCGAAAAUCUGAUAUCCACUUUGGAGGGGACAAUUACAUGAAAUUUUCUCAAGAACAAUUCCUGAGGGGGACACCAAAAGUAGUGCUGUAACACAUAGCCUACAUUGUAAUAUGGUAAAUGUAUAUUGAGGAACCAAAGAAAUAAGGUGUUUGCCGUACUCCUAACUACCGGUACCCAAAACUACACAACUAAUCACAACAGCAAUACCAUUGCCUUUAACAAAUCUUAGUUCAGUCACCAGUUUAAGUUGAGAGUGGGGGUAUCCAUGGCAUUUUCCAAUUAUGUUCCUAUUUUACAAGUAAAAAAAAUUGAGAACCUUUCAUAAUGUUGCCAAACAAAGACUCAACAAACUUACCUGAGACUCCCUGUCUCUGCCAGUCUGUCCCUGCAUAUCUGUCCCCAACUCUGCUGUCUGUGUGCCAUCUGUUGCCUGCUCUGCCUAAUGACAUCAUUGUGAAACACAUUUACAUUUACAUUUAAGUCAUUUCCAUUAGAAUUUCAUUUCUUUCUUAUGAACAUUUUAUCAACUAGACUUUGAGAUAUUAGGCUACUAGGGUUCUUACUAUGCGUUUUGGUGUAUUGAAAAAUACCCUGAUGUCCGUCUUUUAUUUUUCUGCCAUUUUUCUACCUGGCUGGCUGGCUACACACACACACACAGUGUGUAGGUUAUUUACAGUAGGAGAUGGGCUUCUAUCAUCUUCAAACAUUCUAUAUGGGCUUCGAUCUAAAAGGUAGCUAGCAAAUGUGAAACGGAUUAAAAUGACAAGAGUUGACAGCUGUAUGAGUUCACCAUUUACACAACAUAUGCUGCAACCUUUCGUAAUUUUAACAGUUUGUUUCAUAUUGGCUGGCUUCCAACAAUAGCUGAAUUUGCAAAGCUAGUGAGCACCAAUUCAGUUUCAGUGGUGUUUGCUAUAAUCUUUGCUACCAGGGUUAAAUAAAAGUGAAAUAAAAUAAAUAAAUAAAAGUUCCCUUGCGACAAUUUAGCUUUUGCAACGAGACCAUUAAAUAUAUUUAAGACAAUGGUAGAAGAGAGUGUAGUUCUGUUCAGUUUGGACUUCAGUUUAUCGCUAACCUUAUCACAGGGACUUUGAAGCACUAACUUACAUCAUCUGCAUGCUGAUUCCAUCUUUGACGACGCCACAUAAAUGGAAUAGGUACUAGCUAGCUUAAUAGUUAAUAUUUGCGUGCUAGCUCUGCAUAUUCAGCUAGUGUGUGUGUGCGCGAUUGACUGGAUGAACCUCACGGCAGUUACGUAGCAAGCUAAGGAACUGGCAGUGGAUCAAACCAUUGUGAGGCAAAGGGCGGGGGGGUCGCAAUCUUUUGAAACUUAAAAACGCGCUAUUAAGUGUCUAUAAUCAGCACAAUUGCUUUCAUUGCGUAUUAUUAAUAUUAUUUAAAUUACAUAGUUAUGUUUCAGUGAUAUAUUGGGGGGGGAUAAAUCAUAUUUUUCCCAGGAUGGGGGGGUCGUGUCCCCCCCCGUCCCCCCCGGGAUUUCUGCCCCUGCUCACAAUUACCAUUAAAAUCAAAUCAUAUUUUAUUAAUCACAUAAUUCAUAAACAACAGGUGUAGACUAACAGUGGAAUUCUUACUUAUGGGCCCUUACCAACAAUGCAGAGAGAGAGAAAAUAGAGAAAUGAUAGCAAAGUUACAGCACAUAAUAAUCAAAGUAAUAAUAAAUUGUCACGUUGUCUAAUUAUUGGAGACAGGCGCAGGAAUACUAAUAGGUUUUUUUAUUUUCUCCAUCCAAACAGAAGAGCGAGGUGGAAACCUCUAAAUAAUACACGGGACGAGACCCGUAAAACAAGUGCACAAUAACAUGUAUCAUGGAAGCCAAUACAAUAGCACAGGUACUCACAGGACCAACGGAAAUGGGGAACAGAGGGCACAUAAACUCAGCAAAAAAAACCACCCCUUUUUCAGGACUCUGUCUUUCAAAGAUAAUUCGUAAAAAUCCAAAUAACUUCACAGAUCUUCAUUAUAAAGGGUUUAAACACUGUUUCCCAUGCCAGUUCUUUGAACCAUAAACAAUUAAUGAACAUGCACCUGUGGUCCUUAAGACUUAAGACGGUAGGCAAUUAAGGUCACGGUUGUGAAAACUUAGGACACUAAAGAGGCCUUUCUACGGACUCUGAAAAACACCAAAAGAAAGUUGCCCAGGGUCCCUGCUCAUCUGCCUGAACGUGCCUUUUGACCCUCCCUUUGUUCAGGGACACAUUAUUCAAUUUCUGUUAGUCACAUGUCUGUGGAACUUGUUC
rnacentral:lncRNA from 1 species